rnacentral:rRNA from 1 species
GACGAACGCUGGCGGCGUGCCUAACACAUGCAAGUCGAACGGAGAUUGCAUUUAUGUAAUCUUAGUGGCGAACGGGUGAGUAACGCGUAGACAACCUACCGCUUAGAUGGGGACAACACUGGGAACUAGUGCUAAUACCGAAUGUUGUAUUGAAGCUGCAUGGUUUUGAUACUAAAGAUGGCCUCUGUAUAUGCUAUCGCUAAGUGAUGGGUCUGCGUCUGAUUAGCUAGUUGGUGAGGUAAUGGCUCACCAAGGCGACGAUCAGUAGCCGGUCUGAGAGGAUGAACGGCCACACUGGGACUGAGACACGGCCCAGACUCCUACGGGAGGCAGCAGUGGGGAAUCUUCCGCAAUGGACGAAAGUCUGACGGAGCAACGCCGCGUGAGUGAAGAAGGUUUUCGGAUCGUAAAGCUCUGUUUUCAGGGACGAAUGUGCAGAUUGUAAAUAAUGAUUUGUAAUGACGGUACCUGAGUAGAAAGCCACGGCUAACUACGUGCCAGCCGCCGCUGUAA